ACGACUCCUUGAAUGAUGUCGUUUAGCCGAAGGCACUAUGAUAUAUAAGAUCCCCUCCGAUCCAGAAACAAUCAUCACUCUUCACUCUCAUUUUCCCAAUUUCGCGAUACCAAAACCUCAGCAAUCAACAAUGUCGUUUUUCUCAAGGGGCCGUCGCGACGACGACACGGUGGACGACUACGACGAGUACGACCCCACCCCUUACGGCGGCGGCUACGACAUCGCCCUCACCUACGGCCGCCCCAUCCCACCCUCCGAUGAGACCUGCUACCCUCUAGGAGCCUCUUCUUCUGAUGACAACUUCGAUUAUGAUCGCCCUCAAUACACCUCUAACGCUGAACCCUCUGCUUAUGGUGAUGAAGCCCUAGCAUGACUGGUAUAGCAGCUGUACUCUUCGCCCUAAGCCCAGGCCUGGCUCUGCCAGGCUUCAACCCCGCCGCAGGGUCCGGGUACGGAGGCAGGAGUCGAAAUAUGGAUCCGGGUAUGGUGGAAGGAAGGAAGAAGGUGAAUACGGGUCAGGAUAUGGUGGAAGAAAGGAGGAGCCGGAAUAUGGAUCUGGGUAUGGUAGAAGGAAGGAAGAAGGUGAAUACGGGUCAGGAUAUGGUGGAAGAAAGGAGGAACCGGAAUAUGGAUCCGGGUAUGGUAGGAAAGAAGAGGGUGAAUACGGGUCAGGAUAUGGGUCCGGGUAUGGUGGGAGAAAGGAGGAGUCUGAAUAUGGAUCUGGGUAUGGUGGAAGAAAGGAAGAACCUGAAUAUGGAUCUGGGUAUGGUGGGAGAAAGGAGGAAUCUGAAUAUGGAUCCGGGUAUGGUGGGAGAAAGCAAGAAUCUGAAUAUGGAUCCGGGUAUGGUGGCAGGAAGGAGGAACCAGAAUAUGGAUCCGGAUAUGGUGGAAGGAAGGAGGAAUCUGAAUAUGGAUCAGGAUAUGGAGGAAGGAAGCAAGAAUCAGAAUAUGGAUCCGGGUAUGGUGGAAGAAAGGAGGAGAGUGAAUAUGGAUCCGGGUAUGGAGGGAGGAGUGAGUAUGAGGAGAAACCUAGCUAUGGGAGGAGCAACUAUGAGAGCCAAGGAGGAGGAGGAAGGGUUGAGUAUGGUUAUGAGGGGCGUCCACCCCGGCAGGAGGAGGAGGAGGGGUUCCGCAAGCCCUCCUAUGAGAGGAAGGCUGAUGAUGAUGAUGAUGAGGGCUAUGGUCGUAAGAAAUAUGGAGAUGACUCAGAUGAUGAUGAUGGGAGAAAGAAGCAUCACCACAAGCAUCACCAAUACAAGAGUUAUGAUGAUGAGUAAUCAAAAUGCCAGUGCGUGCUGUGUGAAUCAAAGUCAUCCCAUAAUUACCUACUAAAUAACGGGUUGACGUAUUAUACCUUCCUUCCAGUGUGUUUAGACUAUUACUGUGAUGUGAAGUCUUGAGCUUUAUGAACUGUUGGUCUAAGCUUAAUGUGAGGUCUUUGGCUUUGGAGUUCUAAUAAUAUCCGUUAUGUUUGAGUGUGUUAAAUUAUUUCCUUAGUUUGAAUGAGUUUAUGUGCCCUGCAUCAUGUAAUUUUACCUUCUAAUUAUUGCUGGCUAAGUUUUAAGGGAAGAUUCCAACCUUGAUAUAUGCAUGGUAAGUUCGAUAUGAUAAUCAUAUCCUACAAGAACACCCGUGUUCGUAUAAUUUACACACCGGAAGGUAUAAUACGUCAAAAUUGGUUGCACAAGUAUAAACUUUGUAUUUUGUGUUGAGUAGAAUUUGAGUGAGUUAUUUA